AGGGUAAUAGUUAAUAAUAACAUUUAAUUUGCAUUUAAAAAGUAUUGUCUGAGACAAUUUACCUUA
rnacentral:tRNA from 1 species